rnacentral:lncRNA from 1 species
CCGAGAUUGAGCCAUUGCACUCCAGCCUGGGGGACAAGAGUGAGACUUCGUCUCAAAAAAAAAAAAAUGUAUGUUGUUUCCAGUUUUUUGCUGUUACAAGCAGUCCUUGAUGAAUAUACUUAUAAAUACAGGAAUGCUAGUUGUUCUUUUCUUAAGACACGUCAAAUUACAUGCAUUAUUCAUGAUAUGUUGAUUUUCUAGUUAAGUUUUCAGAGUGUAGGAGUGCUCUAUGAUGCUUCCAAGUGUUUUCUAUAAAAUAAAAUUCUUUCAUAAUUAUGUCACUUUAUUUUAUGUGUCAUGUUUAAGCUUUCAAUCCUUUGUAUAUUAUUUCAUUCUUAUACUCAUUGUAAAUUUUCUGAAGUAAGCAAAACAGUUUCCUCAUUUUUCGUUAACUGAAAAGGUGAGGUAACUGAAGCAUGUAGAAUGAUCUACCCAAGACUGUAUAGCUAGUGAGAGAUAGAGCUGGGGCUAGAACCUGCUUGUUUUCUUGGAUCAGUAGUUUCUAACAUGUGAGCAAGACCCCUGGAGGGCUGUGAAUUAACUGUAAUGGGCCCACAAAUCCAUGUGUAUGUCAAAGAUUAUCUGAAAACAGAUAAUUUAUUUUUUAUUUUUUAUUUUUAUUUUUAUUUUAUUUUAUUUUUUUUUAGUAGAGAUGAAGUCUCACUAUAUUGCCCAGGCUGGUCUCCCAUGAACCCUUGAGCUCAAGUGAUCCUCCUGCCUUGGCCUCCCAAAGCGGUGGAAUUUUAGGCGUGAGCCACCAGGUCCAGCUGUCUACAACAUUUUUACAUGUUGGAAAAAUGAGGCCUCAUCUCAACCUUGAAAAGAAGCAUCCUGUGGACUCUGGCAAGGUGGGAGAGCCUAUCACAAAUCACACUGCAGACCAGAGUCUCCCUGCCUCCCAUCUGGAGUACCAGCCAUUUACAACUCAACAAACUGAGUACCUAGAACCAGCCUAAUGUGGAUCCUCCAGGCAGAACUCUGUUACAGAGUCUCACUUCAGAGACUAAUUGGAAAUGAAUAAUUUAAAGAAUCUUCCUCUAAGUUUUCUUUAAAGACAAAACAUUUUUGAAUGUUCAUAAGCAUAGGUUAUAUGGAACUAAGAGUAGCAAGACAAAGUUCUAGGGACAGAAAGGAAAAUGGUGGUUGCCAGCAGUUGGGGGAAGAGGGGAAUACGGGGAGUUAUUGUUUAAUGGAUACAGAGGUUUAAUUUUGCAAGAUGAAAAAGAUUCUGGAGAUGGGUGGUGACAAUGGCUGUACAACAAUGUGAGUGUACUCAAUGCCACAGAACUGAAACCUUCAAAAUGGUUAAAAUGGUAAAUUGUAUGUUAUGCAUAUUUUACCAAAAUUCAGAAUGGAAAAAAAAAUUGUUAUCUGGAGAUCAGAUUUCAAAAUAAAUUUUUUGUUAGGCCUUUUACUCACAAAAUUGAAAUAGAAUAGAAUUAUGCUAAGACAAUUCAUUAUUAGGUAUGAAUUUGAUUCAGAGAUUGGUAAAAGAUAAUAUAUA